UGGACAAACACCGUGGCUUUGCUUAUCAAGAAGAAGCACAGAGCCAUGGGGGAUGAGGGGUGGGUUUCCACCCUGCAAAGGUUUGCUGCUUCCAGCGUUUGGCUCUGAGGCAGGAAACAGACCAGCACCACCAGAAGAAGUGGCCUGAUCUUUAUCUGAAGCCUUCCAGCAGCGUCCCGGUCACAUCCCCCAGCGCUCCAGAUCAUCCAGGUCCGUCAGCAGCAGCAUCUGGACAGACUGCUCCCAGCCCUCUUUGACUUUGGCAUCGGCCUGCAGCUCCUCUGUGUCCUCUGUCACAUUCAGAACCACGACAAGCAGAGCACCGUCACCUGUCUGCAGUCCAGGACCUCAUCAGCCUCAUCCUCAGCUCCUCAAACCCCCCUGUCCUCUACAACCACCUCUGUGUCCAUCUGCUCCAUCUCCAUCUGCUCCUCCUCCGACUGCUCCACCUCCACUGUUCCCUCUGAGCUCUCCACAUCCGACCAUCUUCACGCUCCAGCAGCAGAAGCACAGCCUGCUCCAGGUUCUGAGCCUCGCUGGCUCCCAGCAGAGAUGAAAAAAAUAGACCUGCUCAGGACCAGAGAUGGAUUUCAGCCUCCAUCUGGAAAAACCAGCAACUGCAGUUAGACCUGUAGUUGUGGUCCACACCACCAGAGCCUGCUCUCAUUUCUCACCAGUUUCCUGCUCCAGAGUGGUUUUUCACCCACAGGCUCCUCCUGUGGAUGCUGGAUCACUGUGGGAAGUGAUUCUGCACUGGUCUGUAUGCAGAAAGCAGCUCACAGGUGCCGGUGUCCACAAGAGAGCUCGGACAGUCCUGGAUGUGUUCAGUGAUUA